rnacentral:misc_RNA from 1 species
GCAUAACAUAAGUUGGAAUACAGCAUUGCAGUACACACUUAACAAAGACAACAAGAAGUCAGCAAUCACUACUAAGUUCACAAAUUCAAAAACAACCAAAAUCGAUGAUAACCACGGUAAACAAUCUCAGCGAUAACGGCGGAGAGAAAGGGUCUGGUUCCUCUUCCAGGUUGCCCUACGAGACGGUCUCGCCUUGUGGUGCAGAUGACCCUUACCUCGCAGGCCCCUGUACUUCUUGCCAGCUGAAGUAAGCCCGCGGAGCUCACGAUGCUUGUGAACCCCCUUGCAGAUCCAGUUUAUCCUAGGAUCGUUGCGAAUGGCAUUAUGAGCGGCAUCAACAAGGAUGAUUUCAAAGUACUUGUAGGUCGAAUCCUCGUUAAUCCAGUAAGAAUUGAGGACCUUCAGUCCUCCCAAUUUCCGGCCUGCUCUCUCCUCUGCCACGGACCUCUUGUUCCUCUGGAACUUAAGCUGGGUAAUACCCUGAUUCUUAGGCUUGCCAUACACAAUACCCUUGGGAACUGGCCUCUUACGGCCUCCACGCCUAACACGAACACGGUAAACAACAUAUCCCUGCUUGGCCUUAUAGCCGAGGCGGCGGGCCUUGUCGGGGCGGGUGGGCCUCGUGACGCGAACAAUGGAGGGGAGCUGUCGGUACUCCCAGCACCGCACCCUCUGCAGAAACCGCAUCACAUCCGACUGCUUCUUCCUCCAUAGCUCCGACACAUAAGUGUAAGCACCCAUUGUUGCUCUUCUCCUUCAGUGCUG